rnacentral:rRNA from 1 species
UACAGAGGUCCCGAGCGUUGUUCGGAUUCACUGGGCGUAAAGGGUGCGUAGGCGGUCGGGUAAGUCUGAUGUGAAAUCUCACAGCUUAACUGUGAAACUGCAUUGGAUACUAUUCGGCUUGAGAGUUGGAGGGGGGACUGGAAUUCUUGGUGUAGCAGUGAAAUGCGUAGAUAUCAGGAGGAACACCAAUGGCGAAGGCAGCUCGCUGGGACGUGACUGACGCUGAGACGCGAAAGCGUGGGGAGCAAACAGG